rnacentral:pre_miRNA from 1 species
UGAGCUCUCAAAGUGGCUGUGAAACGUUUGUUUUGAUAUUCGUAUCACAGCCAGCUUUGAUGAGCUUAG